AUUGAACGCUGGCGGCAGGCCUAACACAUGCAAGUCGAACGAGUGGCGGACGGGUGAGUAUUGUCUGGGAAACUGCCCGAUGGAGGGGGAUAACUACUGGAUACGGCAGUUAAUACCGCCUUUCAUCGGAUUUGCCCAGAUGGGAUUAGCUAGUAGGUGGGGUAACGGCUCACCACGGCGACGAUCUCUAGCUGGUCUGAGAGGUUGACCUGCCACACUGGAAGGGAGACACGGUCCAGACUCCUACGGGAGGCAGCAGUGGGGAAUAUUGCACAAUGGGCGCAAGCCUGAUGCAGCCAUGCCGCGUGUAUGAAGAAGGCCUUCGGGUUGUAAAGUACUUUCAGCGAGGAGGCGUUACUCGCAGAAGAAGCACCGGCUAACUCCGUGCCAGCAGCCGCGGUAAUAC
rnacentral:rRNA from 1 species